rnacentral:rRNA from 1 species
UUAGUCUCAGUUCGGAUUGUAGGCUGAAACUCGCCUACAUGAAGCUGGAGUUGCUAGUAAUCGCGAAUCAGCAUGUCGCGGUGAAUACGUUCCCGGGCCUUGUACACACCGCCCGUCACACCAUGAGAGUUGGGAAUACCCGAAGCCUGUGAGCUAACUUUUAGAGGCAGCAGUCGAAGGUAGAAUCAAUGAUUGGGGUGAAGUCGUAACAAGGUAUC